AACGAACGCUGGCGGCAUGCCUAACACAUGCAAGUCGAACGAGACCUUCGGGUCUAGUGGCGCACGGGUGCGUAACGCGUGGGAACCUGCCCUUAGGUUCGGAAUAACUCCCCGAAAGGGGUGCUAAUACCGGAUAAUGUCUUCGGACCAAAGAUUUAUCGCCUUUGGAUGGGCCCGCGUUGGUUUAGCUUGUUGGUAGGGUAAAAGCCUACCAAGGCGACGAUCCAUAGCUGGUCUGAGAGAAUGAUCAGCCACACUGGGACUGAGACACGGCCCAGACUCCUACGGGAGGCAGCAGUGGGGAAUAUUGGACAAUGGGCGAAAGCCUGAUCCAGCAAUGCCGCGUGAGUGAUGAAGGCCUUAGGGUUGUAAAGCUCUUUUACCCGGGAUGAUAAUGACAGUACCGGGAGAAUAAGCUCCGGCUAACUCCGUG
rnacentral:rRNA from 1 species